rnacentral:rRNA from 1 species
AUUGAACGCUGGCGGCAGGCCUAACACAUGCAAGUCGAGCGCGCGGCGCACGGGAGAGUAAUGUAUGGGGAUUUGCCAUAUGAAGGGGGAUAACUACUGGAAACGGUGCUUAAUACCGCAUACUAUCGGAUGAACCCAUAUGGAAUUAGCUAGUAGCUGGGGUAAAGGCUCACCUAGGCGACGAUCUCUAGCUGGUCUGAGAGGAUGAUCAGCCACACUGGAACUUGGACACGGCCCAGACUCCUACGGGAGGCAGCAGUGGGGAAUAUUGCACAAUGGGCGCAAGCCUGAUGCAGCCAUGCCGCGUGUGUGAAGAAGGCCUUAGGGUUGUAAAGUACUUUCAGCGGGGAGGCGUUACCCACAGAGGAAGCACCGGCUAACUCCGUGCCAGCAGCCGCGGUAAUAC